rnacentral:lncRNA from 10 species
UGUGGGUCAACAUCUGUUCGUGGCUCUCAGUUUUGAAGGCUGUCAGCCCCCUGAUUCCCACUCUGCACUCUAUUUCUGUGUCUUUGUCUUAAUUCCUCUAGCGCUGCUGGGUUAGGGUCUCCACGACUGAGCUGGUCUCAGCAAGCGGUGCUCAACAUGGGGGCUUGAACCCAGGAUGAAGAGUCGCUGGAGCGGUGGUUGGAGAACCUGGAAGUAAGCUGGAGAACACCCGAGUACUCUUAAGCAAUCCCCGUGGCCAAAACCAGCAGCUGAUUUGGAUACCAUGAAGACACCUGAAACCUUAUCAUGAGCCAGAUGCCGAGGAAGAGAUUUUGCGAGGGACCCAAGGACCACCCUGUUGCAGCCAAGUCCAGACUGACAAUAAGGCCUCCUUUCCUGUUUGUAGCUGCAGAUGGGGAUCCCCAAUCCUGUGAGAAGGAGCCCACCAUGACAAAGCUGCCUUUGCCUUUAUUGCUUUGCAAAAAAACAAUAAAUAAAUAAAUAAAGAGGGACAUGCUGGUAGCGAGCUCUAAGCCUGUCAUAAACAGGCCUUAAAGAAACUGGCCAUAAACAGGAUUUCUGCAGCAAUGUGACAUGCUAGUGACGGCUAUCACGUACACUGCUAAAAGUUGUUGGUUUACUGGAGCAGGACAAGGAAAACCUGGCCCACCCAGAGUGGAAAACUGCUCAAACCACAAACAAUAGCAGGAGCGGCCUGUGCCUUAACAACAUGCUUUUGCUGCAGAAAAUCAGCCAGAGCCUCUUUCUCUGCUCCUCACUAGGAAUGCUUUUAGUUAAUCUAUAAUCUGUAGAAACUAUGCUUAUCCUGGCUUUCUGUCAAUAAUGUGUGGGUCGAACUCUGUUCGUGGUGCUCAGCUCUGAAGGCUGUCAGCCCCCUGACCCCCACUCUGCACUCUAUUUCUGUGUCUUUGUCUUAAUUCCUCUAGCGCUGCUGGGUUAGGGUCUCCACGACUGAGCUGGUCUUGGCAGAGUUCCAUAUCCAAAUCUGAGUUGCUGUGAAGGUGCAGAUUCUUUUAACAUUAGGAAAAGGGAAUAUCCUGCGAGGAUCAGAACUCCAAGACAGAGUCUUGGAUUUCAAAGCCUGGUGAUGGUGAAAAUGGUGUGUCUUUGGGGAUAGAGAGAACUUUUGCCUUCACAUCUCUCACGUUCACCCUUAUACAUCGUUGCACAGGGGAGCUUGUGAGCUCUGAGCCCAGCUUGGCUGUGGGAGCAGGAGGAAUCUCUGGUUUGGGUGCUGAGGUAUCCUCAGCAGGGUGGGUGUGUUGAGGAGAUGAAUAGUUGGCAGAACUGUCCACAGGCUUUUCUUUUCUGCCACUGUCCUCACUGUGGUGUCCUUGGGAGGCUACAGGAGUCAUGGGACCAGGGACCUGCUCAGCUAUCCGACCGGUGGCCCCACCGCACACAGACACUUUUGCACAGGACAUCACCCAUCCCAGGGACUGUAACAUAUUCAUUUUACCAACUCUUUCUUCCUCAGCAUACAGAUGUCCUUCCUGCCUGCCAUUAGCACUUCCCAAAAAACUGCCAAGCCACGUAUCUACCUGACUUUUCUUUACAUAUUCUUUUUUUUCUUCAAUUUUUAUGUUAAGUUCAGGACACAUGGGGAGAACAACACACACGGGGUCUUCUUUUUAAAAAACAGAACAAUCAAUACUUGCUAUCAAAAAAUAGAAGCUACACACUUAAAUAAAAGAUGUUGCCCAUGGAGUCCCUAAAAUUGUCCCGUGCGUCAGCGGCUGGGUGCACACCACACUCUGCGAAAUGGUGAUGCUAGGCCUCUGGCCCUUUCCUGGAAUUCGCAGCCCCUCAUGAGGAGCCCUUUGGAAUGAGAGGAAAAAUAAGCAUGUGGACAUGCCCUAGCCGAGGAGUGUUCUUUUAGUAUCUGCCAAUUGAGAAAAUAGACAACGUACAAAGCUACUAUUCAGAAUGAAUUCACCUUAUGUUAAUGAAAUGGCCCUCUGCAGAUGGCCUGGUGCACUAACCCUCCCUUCCAUCUGCAGAGGGCCUGGUGCACUAACUAAUUUGAAGCCACUUUGCAACUCUGUGGCUUCCUGGGGUCGGCAACUCACAGUUGGGAAUUCCUGGUUUAGGGGAAAGAGCCAAGACCCCCUUUGUUCCAUUGUGUGGACUUGAGCAUUUUGCCUUCUAGCUGGUUUUAGGUUCCCCUGACUAUGAAAUAGGCAUAAAAGCCCCUGCGUUUUUUUUUUUUAAACCUCACAGAUGUUAUUUUUGUGAAGACAAUGGAAAACACUAUUCUUCCACUCUGGGCAACAUGGUGAAACCCCGUCUUUACCCAAAAUACAAAAAUUAGACAGGCAUGGUGGAACUCACCUGUAGUCCCAGCUAUUUGGGGGCGGGAUGAUGGGGAGGGCCGUUGAGGCAGGAGAAUUGCUUCAGCCAGGGAGGCAGAGAUUGCAGUGAGCUAAGAUCAUGCCACUGCACUCCAGCCUGGGUGACAGAGUGAGACUCUGUCUCAAAAAAGAAAAAUAAAAAAAGGAAGAAAGAAGGAAAGAGAAAGAAAGAAAAAGAAAGAAAGAGGAAAAAGAAAGAAAGAAAGAGGAAAAAAGAAGAAAGAAAAAGAAAGGAAGAAAAAAGAAAGAAAGAGAAAGAAAGAAAGAAAGAAACUAUUCUAAAGAGGAGAAAAAUCAUAUUUCUAAAUGCAAAUUGUCAAUAUAACCCUUUCCAUGAAAUCUCAGAAGAAGCUAGGACUCCUGGGAGACAAAGAAGAAAGAAAAUAUGAAUGGAAACAUCAUGGGAAGGCCAGUGAUCAGUGAUGGAGACACUGACCACAAGAGCCCCAGUGACUCAGCUCCUUAAUAAUCACCAGGCCCAGGAGCCCAGGAAGUUGAGACCACAUGUGAUGUGGAGGAAACUCGGCAGCAUUGGGCUUAGGCGCCUGGCUCCGGGCACUGAAGGGAGGGCUGCAGAGAUCAUGGGGACAGGCCAUUCCUCUUCUCCCAAGGACAGUCUGUGUUACUGCGGAAACGGGCCAGGGCUGCCCUUGAAGUCCUUGGAAAUCACACCAGGAAUGGCCUGACCACACUGGGCAGGAGGGAGAAGAAAAGGAAGCCCAGGGACUGGGCGGAGAGGGAGAGAGCCUGCCGCAAGGGCUUCAGGGCAGGAGGGGGCUUCUCAUUCCCCGCUCAGCUCCUGGAACAAAGGAAAGCCCCGCCCUGCCGCCCUCACUCAGUCCCGUGUUCUAUUUAAAUCCUGUGCCCCAUUGCAAGACUGCAUUCAGUCUGCAUGAGCCUUAGUUUCAUAAAAGCCCCCUCACACCGAGGGGACAAUGUUCAGAACUAAAUGACUGCAGGUGAGCAAUUCUCUGUAUUAUACAAACUGGGACCAAAGAUGACUUUAUAAUAGUGGCAAGAGACAAUCAGGCAGACUGGGAGGACCUUAUAAAUAGAUUAUAAGGCUGUGGUGAGUUUAUUUUAACUUAAAAAAAAAACCUUCUUUUCUGGUAUACCAUAGUGAAAAUGUAACAGUGUCUGGAUGAUCUAUUGCAAAAAAAAUUAUCCUUUGUUUCUUGAUUUUUUUUCUUUUUAAUUCAAAAGCCCCAAAUUUCUGAGUUUCCAUGUUGAGGAUAAAACUCCUUUUAGAAAAAUUCUAAACUUGGAAAAUAGUGAGGCCCUGAUUAAAAUGGCAGCUCAUUUGGAAAAAACCAGAAAACAGCCCAUUUGCUUUCCUGAUGUCAUCAUCACCAGCAAGCAUUUCUUGAGCUUUGGUUUGAUACACAGACUGGGCCCAAUAGAGCCGCUGGGCAUGGAGGUGAGGCCGGUCCUCUGCAUCCCUGAAGAAGGCAGUCUGUAUAUGCACAACUGUGCAGGCAGCACACUGAGGACACAUUGGAUCCUUUGGGAUGUCUUCUGGGCUUUCCACUUAGAGUCAAACAAAAAGGCAGCAGGAGUACAGAGAGCUGGCUAGUCCCUUCCCCUAUGUGAGGACCCAGUGAGAAAGUGCUGUCUAUGGACCAGACGAUGGGCCCUCACCAGACAGCAAACCUGCUGUGCCUUGAUCUUGGACUUCCCAACAUUCAGAAUGGUGAGAAAUACAUUUCUGCUCUUUAUAAGCCACUGAGUUUAUGGUA